rnacentral:sRNA from 1 species
CUUGGUCAUUUAGAGGAAGUAAAAGUCGUAACAAGGUUUCCGUAGGUGAACCUGCGGAAGGAUCAUUACACUCAGUAGUUUACUACUGUAAAAGGGGCUGUUAGUCUGUAUAGCGCAAGCUGAUGAGCAGCUGGCCUCUUUUAUCCACCCUUGUCUUUUGCGUACCCACGUUUCCUCGGCAGGCUUGCCUGCCGGUUGGACAAAUUUAUAACCUUUUUAAUUUUCAAUCAGCGUCUGAAAAACUUAAUAAUUACAACUUUCAACAACGGAUCUCUUGGUUCUGGCAUCGAUGAAGAACGCAGCGAAAUGCGAUAAGUAGUGUGAAUUGCAGAAUUCAGUGAAUCAUCGAAUCUUUGAACGCACAUUGCGCCCCUUGGUAUUCCAUGGGGCAUGCCUGUUCGAGCGUCAUUUGUACCCUCAAGCUGCUUGGUGUUGGGUGUUUGUCCUCUCCCUAGUGUUUGGACUCGCCUUAAAAUAAUUGGCAGCCAGUGUUUUGGUAUUGAAGCGCAGCACAAGUCGCGAUUCGUAACAAACACUUGCGUCCACAAGCCUUUUUAACUUUUGACCUCGGAUCAGGUAGGGAUACCCGCUGAACUUAAGCAUAUCAAUAAGCGGAGGAAAAGAAACCAACAGGGAUUGCCCUAGUAACGGCGAGUGAAGCGGCAACAGCUCAAAUUUGAAAUCUGGCUCUUUCAGAGUCCGAGUUGUAAUUUGCAGAGGGCGCUUUGGCGUUGGCAGCGGUCCAAGUUCUUUGGAACAGGACGUCACAGAGGGUGAGAAUCCCGUACGUGGUCGCUAGCCUUCGCCGUGUAAAGCCCCUUCGACGAGUCGAGUUGUUUGGGAAU